rnacentral:ncRNA from 1 species
UAUCUUUUCUUUUUAACAGCUUGCCCACCCUGAAAUCGACUCAACCGGAGAUAGGGUCCAGCGGAUGGAAGAGCAUCGCACGUCUUGCGGUGUCCGGUGUGCCCUCAGCGGCCCUUGAAAAUCUGGAGGACCGAGUACCGUCCAUGCCCGAUCGUACUCAUAACCGCAUCAGGUCUCCAAGGUGAAAAACCUCUGGUCAAUAGAACAAUGUAGGUAAGGGAAGUCGACAAAACGGAUCUGUAACUUAGGGAAAAGGAUUGGCUCUGAGGGCUGGGCCUAGGGGUCUGCGUCCUCAACCCGUGGGCUGUCGGCAGUCUGCCCGAGCUGCUAUCGCGACGAGGGCAGCUGCUAUCGCGGUGAGGGCGGGUAGUCGCGUGCCAAUUGGGCUAUGGACGUAGAAUGUCCUCUCGCGGGGGUUUUCCCUAGGCGGCGAACAGUCGACUCAGAACUGGUAUGGACAAGGGGAAUCCGACUGUUUAAUUAAAAGAAAGCAUUGCGAUGGUCCCUGUGGAUGCUGACGC